GUCAGGUGUCUCUGUGUGAACCUAUCACCAUGCACGUGCGCUUUGUUCUCACAUUGAUGUGUCUACUUCUUCUUUGUGUCUCAACAAGUCAAUCCCCUGCACCCUGCAGUCCACCCUGUAUGUCCACUCAGAAAUGUUUGACUUUUAACCCAGACUGUGAAGGGCCGCCACCGGACUGUGUUCAGUGUCAGUCUGACUGUCAGGCAGUUCAUAUAUGUAUUGACAUCA
rnacentral:sRNA from 1 species